rnacentral:rRNA from 1 species
CAACAGCUCAAAUUUGAAAUCUGGCUCUCUUUGGGGGUCCGAGUUGUAAUUUGCAGAGGAUGCUUUGGCAUUGGCGGCGGUCUAAGUUCCUUGGAACAGGACAUCGCAGAGGGUGAGAAUCCCGUACGUGGGCGCCUGCCUUUGCCGUGUAAAGCUCCUUCGACGAGUCGAGUUGUUUGGGAAUGCAGCUCUAAAUGGGAGGUAAAUUUCUUCUAAAGCUAAAUACCGGCCAGAGACCGAUAGCGCACAAGUAGAGUGAUCGAAAGAUGAAAAGUACUUUGGAAAGAGAGUCAAAAAGCACGUGAAAUUGUUGAAAGGGAAGCGCUUGCAGCCAGACUUGCCCGCAGUUGCUCACCUAGGCUUUGGCCUGGGGCACUCUUCUGCGGGCAGGCCAGCAUCAUUUGGGCGGUCGGACAAAGGCCUCUGUCAAGUAUCUCCCUUCGGGGUGACGCUUAUAGGGGAGGCGUAAUGCGACCAGCCCGGACUGAGGUCCGCGCAUCUGCU